GACGAACGCUGGCGGCGUGCUUAACACAUGCAAGUCGAACGCUGAAGGCCUGGCUUUUGUUGGGUUGGAUGAGUGGCGAACGGGUGAGUAACACGUGAGUAACCUGCCCUCUUCUUUGGGAUAACGCCCGGAAACGGGUGCUAAUACUGGAUAUUCACUGAUCUUCGCAUGGGGGUUGGUGGAAAGGUUUGUUCUGGUGGGGGAUGGGCUCGCGGCCUAUCAGCUUGUUGGUGGGGUGAUGGCCUACCAAGGCUUUGACGGGUAGCCGGCCUGGGAGGGUGACCGGUCACAUUGGGACUGAGAUACGGCCCAGACUCCUACGGGAGGCAGCAGUGGGGAAUAUUGCACAAUGGGCGAAAGCCUGAUGCAGCGACGCCGCGUGAGGGAUGGAGGCCUUCGGGUUGUAAACCUCUUUCGCUCAUGGUCAAGCCGCAACUGUGGGUUGUGGUGAGGGUAGUGGGUAAAGAAGCGCCGGCUAACUACGUG
rnacentral:rRNA from 1 species